rnacentral:rRNA from 1 species
UACGAAGGGGGCUAGCGUUGCUCGGAAUUACUGGGCGUAAAGCGCACGUAGGCGGCUUCUUAAGUCGGUGGUGAAAUCCUGGAGCUCAACUCCAGAACUGCCUUCGAUACUGGGAAGCUCGAGUCCGGGAGAGGUGAGUGGAACUGCGAGUGUGGAGGUGAAAUUCGUAGAUAUUCGCAAGAACACCAGUGGCGAAGGCGGCUCACUGGCCCGAUACUGACGCUGAGGCACGAAAGCGUGGGGAGCAAACAGGA